UACGGGGGAUGCAAGCGUUAUCCGGAUUUAUUGGGUUUAAAGGGUGCGUAGGCUGUGAGGUAAGUCAGCGGUGAAAUACCGGGGCUCAACCCCGGGGCUGCCGUUGAAACCGGAGCGCUAGAAUUCCGAUGCCGUCGGAGGAAUGUGUGGUGUAGCGGUGAAAUGCAUAGAUAUCACACAGAACACCGAUUGCGAAGGCAUCUGACGAAUCGGAGAUUGACGCUGAUGCACGAAAGCGUGGGUAUCGAACAGG
rnacentral:rRNA from 1 species